CCCAAACAACUGCCGCUGCGAAGGGGGAGAGAUUGCCUGGCCAACUUUAUAGAUUUAGCAUAACUUCCCCUCACAGUUUUAAUUUCCCAUUCGGGCAGGCAGCAGAUGCACCUCACAGACACCGAAAACCUGCCUGGCACACAUGAAUGUCGAGUAUGAGGUGACGCCAACGACAGGGUGGAAAGAUUCAGAGGAAAGAUUCAGAGAGAUUCAGAAGAAAAACGAAAACAAGUACGACGUAGAAAAGAAUGAUUGCAGUUGGGGAAACAUAUUCAAGCCCAAGGACAAGCCAAGCCAUGACAGGCACUCUAAACCCCCUGCAUUAAUGGAAGGAAAUGGCAUUCGAUCCCUGUUUGAUCUCCUAAUCAUUUCUGCAGAAAUGAUAAUUAGUGCCCUUCCAAUCCUCCCACAGAGGAGGAGAAAGGGGUGGGUGAGAGGGGAUUGGGUAAAUACAUAAAUAGAAAAAAAUCCUCUUGCUUUUUAGACCCCAAAUGACAUCUUCGUCACCAUGUUCAUAACCAACAAGUGCUUUCCUCCAUUGCAAAUUUCCCAUCCUUUACACACAGAGAAGGGGAUAUACACACUAACACACACUCAGACACACAGAGAUGCAAUGCCUGGCGACUGCUGUCUGUGAUUCUUUUCAGCUGACAUAAUCCUGAUUGAUUCGUUCAGCAGAUAAAAACUGGGUCCACUUCUGCCCUUUUACUGGGGGGGCUGGAACAUAAUACAGCCUUUUAUUCAGCAACAAUGUAACAUAAUGGCGUUGGAAUGUGCAGGGGAAAAAAGGCCACAUCUUAAAUGCUUGUGACACACUGUGCUUUGAAAAAGCCUGUAGUCUAAUGUAAAAGAGAGAGAGAAGGGAAGAGCAAAAAAAGAGAGAAAGAAAUCAUUGAACUGCCAGAUUACCCAUGUGCCCUGGUUCUAUUACACUCAAAUAAAGGCUGUUACUUUGGAGAACUUAUUUUCUUUCAUUCAUUUUUUGUGUUUUCUGAGUAUGUAUUCACAACUUUGUGUGUGUCUUUCAUUCUAUAACUCCACGUUGCAAAAAAUUCAAGAAUUUGAGCUCUUGAGUUUCCUAACCAUCACUACUUCCCAUCCUUUUCUGAAAAGGAAGCUUUGUUCACAGGGCAGGAAUAGGUGAGGUCAUCCCAUCUCCACAGAUUGCAGCCACUAUUCGCUUUUUUCUUGUCUUUCAUUUCUUUUUUGGAAAGUACUUACAUGAACUAACAUCCUUCCUUCAUUCUCUGAGAUAAGGAAGUAGGCUAAAGGCCAAGCCAGUGGAUAUUUGCAUUAGCGCCCUCAGCUGUAUAGUCUGAGUCUGUCUGCUGCAAAGCACUGUACUGCAAUGUAAAAGUGUUCUGUGACAAAUUGGGUUUGUCUUUUCUGUAAGGGCUUGCAGGCUUUGAAAAAAACCUACCAGAGCAUCAUAUAUGGUUACAGCUACCUUUUAAAUCUCACUUUACAG